rnacentral:rRNA from 1 species
GUGGGGAAUAUUGCACAAUGGGCGCAAGCCUGAUGCAGCCAUGCCGCGUGUGUGAAGAAGGCCUUCGGGUUGUAAAGCACUUUCAGCGAGGAGGAAGGUGGUGAGCUUAAUACGCUCAUCAAUUGACGUUACUCGCAGAAGAAGCACCGGCUAACUCCGUGCCAGCAGCCGCGGUAAUACGGAGGGUGCAAGCGUUAAUCGGAAUUACUGGGCGUAAAGCGCACGCAGGCGGUUUGUUAAGUCAGAUGUGAAAUCCCCGGGCUCAACCUGGGAACUGCAUUUGAAACUGGCAAGCUAGAGUCUCGUAGAGGGGGGUAGAAUUCCAGGUGUAGCGGUGAAAUGCGUAGAGAUCUGGAGGAAUACCGGUGGCGAAGGCGGCCCCCUGGACGAAGACUGACGCUCAGGUGCGAAAGCGUGGGGAGCAA